rnacentral:rRNA from 1 species
UACGGAGGGUGCAAGCGUUAUCCGGAUUCACUGGGUUUAAAGGGUGCGUAGGCGGGUUGGUAAGUCCGUGGUGAAAUCUCCGAGCUUAACUCGGAAACUGCCGUGGAUACUAUCAAUCUUGAAUAUCGUGGAGGUAAGCGGAAUAUGUCAUGUAGCGGUGAAAUGCUUAGAUAUGACAUAGAACACCAAUUGCGUAGGCAGCUUACUACACGAUCAUUGACGCUGAGGCACGAAAGCGUGGGGGGCAAACAGG